rnacentral:rRNA from 1 species
GAUGAACGCUGGCGGCGUGCCUAAUACAUGCAAGUCGAGCGAACAGACGAGGAGCUUGCUCCUCUGACGUUAGCGGCGGACGGGUGAGUAACACGUGGAUAACCUACCUAUAAGACUGGGAUAACUUCGGGAAACCGGAGCUAAUACCGGAUAAUAUAUUUAACCGCAUGGUUCAAUAGUGAAAGACGGUUUUGCUGUCACUUAUAGAUGGAUCCGCGCCGCAUUAGCUAGUUGGUAAGGUAACGGCUUACCGAGGCAACGAUGCGUAGCCGACCUGAGAGGGUGAUCGGCCACACUGGAACUGAGACACGGUCCAGACUCCUACGGGAGGAAGCAGUAGGGACUCUUCCGCAAUGGGCGAAAGCUUGACGGAGCAACGCCGCGUGAGUGAUGAAGGUCUUCGGAUCGUAAAACUCUGUUAUUAGGGAAGAACAAAUGUGUAAGUAACUAUGCACGUCUUGACGGUACCUAAUCAGAAAGCCACGGCUAACUACGUG